AAAUAUGAGGUACGCCCUGCCCGGUGACUUGCGAGUUAAACGGCUGCGGUAUCCUGACUGUGCUAAGGUAGCGUGAUAAUUCGCCCUUUAAUUGUGGGCUUGUAUGAAUGGGUAAACGAGGGUUUAGCUGUCUCUAUUUUAUAAUUAGAAAUUGGGAUUUAGGUGAAAAUACCUGAAUGUAAAUAUAAGACAAAAAGACCCCGUAGAGCUUGGUUUAAAGUAGAUUUAAUUAUUAAAUUUUUAAAAAAUAUUAAUUAUUAACUUUUUGGGAACUUAACUGGGGCGGUUAGGAAAGCUUUUUAGUCUUUCUUUUAUGUUUAAAACUUACAGGUUGAUAAAAAGGAUCCUUUUUAAGAUUUAAGGAAAAGCUACCUUGGGGGUAACAGACUAAUUUUUUUUGAGAGUUCGAAUUGACAAAAGAGUUUGGCACAUCGAUGUUGGCUUAGGGUGUCCUGAGGGUAGUAGCAGCUUUCAAGGGUAGGUUUGUUCAACCUUUAAAACCUUACGUGAUCUGAGUUCA
rnacentral:rRNA from 1 species